rnacentral:rRNA from 1 species
UACGUAGGGGGCAAGCGUUGUCCGGAUUUAUUGGGCGUAAAGAGCGUGUAGGCGGUCUGUUAAGUCUAGGGUGAAAGCUCCCGGCUCAACUGGGAGAGGUCCUUGGAUACUGGCGGACUUGAGGGAGGCAGAGGAAAGUGGAAUUCCCGGUGUAGUGGUGAUAUGCGUAGAUAUCGGGAGGAACACCAGUGGCGAAGGCGGCUCACUGGCCCGAUACUGACGCUGAGGCACGAAAGCGUGGGGAGCAAACAGG